GUUGCCCGGUGGAGGUCGUUAAAGGGAAGAUGUUAAGUGAAAAUGCUAUAUAAGCUGCAGGCUGCUGGCAAGCAGUUGCAGUUUUCCUUCUCAACCUGUUCAGCUCACGUCACUGGACGAUAGGACUGUGGAUGUGUUGUCCAGCCUACUGCCACGGGGUCAUUUCUCCUUCUGGAGGUGAGACCUGGGAACACCAAGCAGAAAAAGCAGGAAGAUCAUUCUUUAGGGAGCUUGUGUGCCUGCCUGAAAAGUUGGCUAGACAUUCAUCGAUUGACAGAGCUAUGCUAACAAACACUGCCUUGAUACAAUCAAAUUAGGUAAACACUACAACACACAGGGAAGACCCUUGGAAUCUGGGCAUGCAGAGCCUAAAAUUUGGAGCCAGAUGAACCUACCCACUAUGUGAUUGCUACAAGUCAACGAGCCCCUCUGAGUUUCUCAAUUACUUCAUGUAUAAAAUGUUUUUGCAGUUGGAGCGUAAUCUCCCUGGAAUGCUCUGAAUCUUAUGCUUCACAUGACCUUGUAAGAAACCA
rnacentral:lncRNA from 1 species